rnacentral:rRNA from 1 species
GACAGAGGUGCCAAGCGUUAGGCGGAAUCACUGGGCUUAAAGCGUGUGUAGGUGGAUUUGUAAGUACCUUGUGAAAUCCCACGGCUCAACCGUGGAACUGCUCGGUAUACUGCGAAUCUUGAGCCACUUAGGGGCUACUGGAACAAAUGGUGGAGCGGUGAAAUGCGUAGAUAUCAUUUGGAACGCCAAUGGUGAAAACAGGUAGCUGGGAGUGUGCUGACACUGAGACACGAAAGCCAGGGGAGCGAACGGG